CUCCUCUGUUAGAACUACAGCCAAACAAUGCGCAGGCAAUCCACAGCAGCUGCCCCUGCAAAUGUCAGCGCCAGCCCAGUCAAAAGAGCUUGAAACCUACCAAGCCGGAGGACUGUGCUGUGCCUCUCUCGCCCACAUUUUCCCCAAGCACUCUCAGGAACCUGGCAACAGUGUCCCCUUGUGGCCAAGCCUGGAACAUCACAUCUGUACGUUGCAAUCUGUGGAUCAGCUACGAGACUGAGAGAAAGGAAUGAAAGGAUGGAAGAAUUACAAGAUCAGGCACUGCUGUCUGUCUGUUCCACGGAUGUAACCACAGCACACGCGUGGCUCACGAUGGAUAUCUGAGAGCCAGCGAACUUUCUUUACCUCCUAGUAUCAUUUCAUGAAAAUUAGUAGCACCUGCACAAUGGGGCCUUGGAGACAGGAAUAAAAGGAAAAAUCUGGAAUGGAAUCACAUGACGCAACAGGCUAUGAAGACUCCCUGCCCGGCUGCUAUAUGUCUGGUAAACAGAAUAAAUAGUACUUGAGCAUCCCUGACUCUGA
ensembl:lncRNA DLGAP1-AS1 DLGAP1 antisense RNA 1